GGAGAUUUCAUAGAAAAUGGGGGAACAUUUCUUUGAGCCUGAUUAUUUAGAGUUAGCAUAAGUAGCCCGCAGUCAACAUGAGUGGACCAGAGUACGCUCCCUUUAAGCCACUACAGUAUUUGCAUGUUACCGUAGACACCUAUAGUAAAUAUAUUCUCACUACAGCGCACAGGAAGCAGAAUAGCUUGGCGGUUGUACAACACUGGCGUGCUUGCAUAGCCCAACUGGGGAUUCCACGACAGAUCAAGACGAAUAAUGGUACAGCUUAUACUGCGGAAAAGCGUCUCCUGUUAACUGCGUUAACUUCAUUAAAUCAGACAAUUCGGGGGGACCUGGACCAGAUGACGGCGCAACGACAUUUUACGGCUACGGAAGAGAAAGGCCCUGUUGGUCCGUGUGCGUGAUCCCCAGACACGCCAAUGGGACGGACCAUUUGAGCUGCGUUGCCUCAGGCGGGGGUACGCCUGUGUACAGAUACCUGAAGGGCUACUGAAAUGGGUCCUUAGUCGCAUGGUUCGUCCUGCCCUAACCUUGUAGUGUUUGAGUGUUUUUCUUUACAGAUUGCUGUUAUCCUUUCCUGGCUUGUGAUGUCUUGGGUAUCUGCUACGAAUUUCUGACGCUGGAGCAAUUAAUAAACAAGAUAACAGAACUGCAGAAGCAAGAAGGCGCUGCAAGACCUUUAUAGCAAUUAAGAAAACUGUCAUUUCGGCUUAGAACAUUUAGCUGCGGGAUGGGGACUUAGGAGUUGGUUUGUAUCUUUGUUAAAAAUCGGGGUUUCUUUUAUUCUUGUGUAUUUUAUUAGGUAUAAUGUUGCUUUUACUGUGUUUAAUUAAUUGUGUUCAUAUAUCUUGUAGGUCACCUUAGCCAACAUAACAGGUCAAGAUUCUCUGUGCACUGCAACCACAUCACAAAGCCCGUGAACCAAUAGACACGAUGGCUAUGACUCGUGCGGCACGUCUGGCCAGCGACCGCAUGUGCCAUAGGCUCCCUAUGUUUCAACUGAGGCAAAUUUUAGCACC
rnacentral:lncRNA from 1 species